rnacentral:rRNA from 1 species
GACGAACGCUGGCGGCGUGCCUAACACAUGCAAGUGGAGCGACGAACCAGGGCUUGCCCUGGAGCAAAGCCGCGAACGGGUGAGUAACACGUGGGUAACCUGCCCCGAUGACCGGGACAACCCGAGGAAACUCGGGCUAAUACCGGAUAUGCCCCUCGAGCUCAAGCUCGAUGGGCAAAGGAAGCUUCGGCCUCCGCUUCGGGAGGGGCCCGCGGCCCGUUAGCUAGUUGGUGAGGUAACGGCUCACCGAGGGCACGAUGGGUAGCUGGUCUGAGAGGAGGAUCGGCCACACUGGGACGGAGACACGGCCCCGAGUCCUACGGGAGGCAGCAGUGGGGAAUCUUGCGCAAUGCGCGAAAGCGUGACGCAGCAACGCCGCGUGGGGGAAGAAGGCCCUCGGGUUGUAAACCCCUUUCAGGGGGGACGAAGGUAAGGCCGGUGAACAGCCGGUCGGACUGACGGUACCCCCAGAAGAAGCUCCGGCUAACUACGUGCCAGCCGCCGCCGUAAAAC